UAGUUUUUCGAAUUUUCUUAG
rnacentral:piRNA from 1 species